CUCUUCUAUUUUCUCUCAACAGAAUCCAAAGAAUUUUUCCUCAAAUCAGAAUGGAAGCAGAUCCAAGCUGAUUCAGUGGCUGUGACUCUGGACCCUGAUACAGCACACUGUCGCCUCACUGUGUCUGAAGAUGGGAAACGUGUGAGAAAUGACUACAAUGACAAGAAUGUCCCCGACACUGA